rnacentral:tRNA from 1 species
GCCUGGGUGGCUCAGUCGGUUGAGCGUCCGACUUCAGCUCAGGUCACAAUCUUGCAGUCCGUGAGUUCGAGCCCCGCGUCAGGCU